rnacentral:lncRNA from 1 species
AUGAUUGUUAAUAACGGAAAACAUCAAACGACAAUGAAAGUGAGCCUGCUGAUAAAGCACGGUGGCUUCUGUGAAAUCAGAAAACGGAUUCUCUCCAAAGCACAACAGGACAACUUGAGUCAGGAGGAGCUGGCAGAUGCCUCCGGAAUGAAGCCCACGUGUCGUCCGAGUGGGGAUUCGAGGCAGCAGCUGGGAUCCAGGCUGGGGGCCCGAGCAUGUUGGCUGGUGGGUCUGGGCAGCUCUGUUGUCAGUCCUUUGCCCAGCCUGGGCCCAGAUAUCUACUUACAAAUGCUGGACCAUUGUUUCUCUCUACUGGAUAAGAAGUUAAUGUUUUUCUCUGAAGUAUAA